AGACCCCUGCGGGGUGCGUGAUGGGUUGUUUCCCUUGAGCCAACGUCAGUACUUCGGGGGCCAAGGCUCGGAGGCGGUGUGCAAGCCCCUCUCGCAAGGGGAAGCCUGAAGCCGACGAGUCGCUCCCACCUGGUGAAUCAGGUUCAAUCGGAUCCGCCCACACGGCCCACGCGGGGGCCUA
rnacentral:other from 1 species